rnacentral:rRNA from 1 species
AUUGAACGCUGGCGGCAGGCUUAACACAUGCAAGUCGAGCGAGCGGCGGACGGGUGUGUAAUGUCUGGGAAACUGCCUGCUGGAGGGGGAUAACUACUGGAAACGGUAGCUAAUACCGCAUACCAUCAGAUGUGCCCAGAUGGGAUUAGCUAGUCGGUGGGGUAAUGGCUCACCGAGGCGACGAUCCCUAGCUGGUCUGAGAGGAUGACCAGCGACACUGGAACUGAGACACGGACCAGAGUCCUACGGAACGGAGCAGUGGGGAAUAUUGCACAAUGGGCGCAAGUCUUAUGCAGUCAUGCCGCGCGUGUGAAGAAGGCCUUCGGGUUGUAAAGCACUUUCAGCGAGGAUGCGUUACUCGCAUAAGAAGCACCGGCUAACUCCGUGCCAGCAGCCGCGGUAAUAC